UACGUACGCUGGCGGCACGCCUAACACAUGCAAGUCGAACGCAGUAGCAAUACUGAGUGGCAGACGGGUGAGUAACAUGUGGGAAUCUGCCUUGUGGUUCAGGACAACAUUGGGAAACCGAUGCUAAUACUGGAUAAGCCCUUACGGGGAAAGUUUUAAUGCCAUAAGAUGAGCCCGCAUUUGAUUAGUUAGUUGGUGAGGUAAUGGCUCACCAAGACAGUGAUCAAUAGCUGAUCUGAGAGGAUGAUCAGCCACACUGGGACUGAGACACGGCCCAGACUCCUACGGGAGGCAGCAGUGGGGAAUCUUGCACAAUGGAGGAAACUCUGAUGCAGCGAUGCCGCGUGAGUGAAGAAGGCCUUUGGGUUGUAAAGCUCUUUUGUAGGGGAAGAUAAUGACUGUACCCUAAGAAUAAGGUCCGGCUAACUUCGUGCCAGCAGCCGCGGUAAUACGAAGGGACCUAGCGUAGUUCGGAAUUACUGGGCGUAAAGCGCGCGUAGGCCGUUGAGUUAGUUAAUUGUGAAAUCCCAAAGCUUAACUUUGGAACUGCAAUUAAAACUGCUCGACUAGAGUUUGAUAGAGGAAAGCGGAAUACAUAGUGUAGAGGUGAAAUUCGUAGAUAUUAUGUAGAACACCAGUUGCGAAGGCGGCUUUCUGGAUCAACACUGACGCUGAGGCGCGAAAGUAUGGUAGCAAAGAGGAUUAGAUACCCUCGUAGUCCAUACCAUAACGAUGAUUGCUAGAUGUUGGAAAUUAUUUCAGUAUCGCAGCUACGCAUUAAGCAAUCCGCUGGGGAGU
rnacentral:rRNA from 1 species